rnacentral:SRP_RNA from 1 species
GCUGGGCAUGGUGGUGCAUGCCUGUAGUCCCAGUUACUUGGGAGGCUGAGGCGAGAGGAUCACUUGAGCUCAGGAGUUUGAGGCUGUAGUGAGCUGUGAUGGCGCCACUACAUUCCAGCCUGGGUGACAGAGUGAGACCCUGUCUCGA